UGCCCCUUAGCUCAGUCGGUUAGAGCACCUGACUGUUAAUCAGGGUGUCCUCGGUUCAAGUCCGAGAGGGGCAGCCA
rnacentral:tRNA from 9 species